rnacentral:rRNA from 1 species
GACGAACCGUGCGAACGUUGUUCGGAAUCACUGGGCCUAAAGGGCGCGUAGGCGGCAGAUCAAGUCCGGGGUGAAAUCCUCCAGCUCAACUGGAGAAGUGCCUUGGAUACUGAUGUGCUCGAGGGAGGCAGGGGUCCGCGGAACUUCUGGUGGAGCGGUGAAAUGCGUUGAUAUCAGAAGGAACGCCGGUGGCGAAAGCGGCGGACUGGAUCUCUUCUGACGCUGAGGCGCGAAAGCUAGGGGAGCAAACGGG